UAAUACAUGCAAGUCGAACGCGUCUCCGUUAAUGAUUUUAGGUGCUUGCACUUGAAAGAUUUAACAUUGAGACGAGUGGCGAACUGGUGAGUAACACGUGGGUAACCUGCCCUUGAAGUAGGGGAUAACACUUGGAAACAGGUGCUAAUACCGUAUAACAACCAAAACCACCUGGUUUUGGUUUAAAAGACGGCUUCGGCUGUCACUUUAGGAUGGACCCGCGGCGUAUUAGCUUGUUGGUAAGGUAACGGCCUACCAAGGCGAUGAUACGUAGCCGACCUGAGAGGGUAAUCGGCCACAUUGGGACUGAGACACGGCCCAAACUCCUACGGGAGGCAGCAGUAGGGAAUCUUCCACAAUGGACGAAAGUCUGAUGGAGCAACGCCGCGUGAGUGAUGAAGGGUUUCGGCUCGUAAAACUCUGUUGUUGGAGAAGAACAGGUGUCAGAGUAACUGUUGACAUCUUGACGGUAUCCAACCAGAAAGCCACGGCUAACUACGUGCCAGCAGCCGCGGUAAUACGUAGGUGGCAAGCGUUGUCCGGAUUUAUUGGGCGUAAAGCGAGCGCAGGCGGUUUUUUAGGUCUGAUGUGAAAGCCUUCGGCUUAACCGGAGAAGUGCAUCGGAAACCGGGAGACUUGAGUGCAGAAGAGGACAGUGGAACUCCAUGUGUAGCGGUGAAAUGCGUAGAUAUAUGGAAGAACACCAGUGGCGAAGGCGGCUGUCUGGUCUGUAACUGACGCUGAGGCUCG
rnacentral:rRNA from 1 species